rnacentral:rRNA from 1 species
GAUGAACGCUGGCGGCGUGCCUAAUACAUGCAAGUCGAGCGAACGGACGAGAAGCUUGCUUCUCUGAUGUUAGCGGCGGACGGGUGAGUAACACGUGGAUAACCUACCUAUAAGACUGGGAUAACUUCGGGAAACCGGAGCUAAUACCGGAUAAUAUUUUGAACCGCAUGGUUCAAAAGUGAAAGACGGUCUUGCUGUCACUUAUAGGUGGAUCCGCGCUGCAUUAGCUAGUUGGUAAGGUAACGGCUUACCAAGGCAACGAUGCAUAGCCGACCUGAGAGGGUGAUCGGCCACACUGGAACUGAGACACGGUCCAGACUCCUACGGGAGGCAGCAGUAGGGAAUCUUCCGCAAUGGGCGAAAGCCUGACGGAGCAACGCCGCGUGAGUGAUGAGGGUCUUCGGAUCGUAAAACUCUGUUAUUAGGGAAGAACAUAUGUGUAAGUAACUGUGCACAUCUUGACGGUACCUAAUCAGAAAGCCACGGCUAACUACGUG